rnacentral:rRNA from 1 species
UACGUAGGGUGCAAGCGUUAAUCGGAAUUACUGGGCGUAAAGCGUGCGCAGGCGGUGAUGUAAGACAGUUGUGAAAUCCCCGGGCUCAACCUGGGAACUGCAUCUGUGACUGCAUCGCUGGAGUGCGGCAGAGGGGAUGGAAUUCCGCGUGUAGCAGUGAAAUGCGUAGAUAUGCGGAGGAACACCGAUGGCGAAGGCAAUCCCCUGGGCCUGCACUGACGCUCAUGCACGAAAGCGUGGGGAGC